CUGCGGGGAUGAUUUUAAAAAUUGAACUCUCUCUUUCUGAUGAGUUAGUGGAGAAAACACAAAAAAGUUCUGAGUAGC
rfam:Tupaia chinensis contig95927, whole genome shotgun sequence.